CUUUAACAGUCCCAAGGUAAGAAACACAUCCCUUUAACAGUCCCAAGGUAAGAAACGCAUCCCUUUAACAGUCCCAAGGUAAGAAACACAUCCCUUUAACAG